rnacentral:rRNA from 1 species
CAAUUUGACCGUGGGUGAAAGCUCAUUUUGUAGCAAUACACAGAUUGUAAGGUGCUGCAUGGCUGUCGUCAGCUCGUGCCGUGAGGUGUUGGGUUAAGUCCCGCAACGAGCGCAACCCCCAUCAUUAGUUGCCAUCAGGCAAAGCUGGGAACUCUAAUGAAACUGCCGUCGUAAGACGCGAGGAAGGAGGGGAUGAUGUCAAGUCACCAUGGCCUUUAUGCCCAGGGCUACACACGUGCUACAAUGGAAGGGACAAAGAGCUGCCACUUGGCGACAAGGCGCUAAUCUCAAAAACCCUUUCUCAGUUCAGAUCGCAGUCUGCAACUCGACUGCGUGAAGCUGGAAUCGCUAGUA